CUGCCACUUUCGAGUGUCUGCCUUAUCAGCUAUCAACCGUUCGUUAUGCGCGACCGAUGGCUUUGACGGGUAACGGGGAAUCAGGGUUCGAUUCCGGAGAGGCAGCCUGAGAGACGGCUACCACGUCCAAGGACGGCAGCAGGCACGCAAAUUACCCAAUCCCAGCAAAUGGGGGAGGUAGUGACGAAAUCUAACGAUGCGGGCGCCCUUUCUGGGGCCCCGCAAUCGGAAUGGGCACUUUCUAAACAACCUGUUGAGAACCUACUGAAGGGCAAGUCUGGUGCCAGCAGCCGCGGUAAUUCCAGCUUCAGCAGCAUCUAUUAAAGUUGCUGCGGUUAAAAGGCUCGCAGUUGAAUGUCUGUAUCGAGCGCAGGUCAGGUGGACGUUGGGGCGUGGAAGUACGGGCAGUUGGAUGUCCGGAGGGCCUUCGUGCUCAACGGCUCCUUCGGCUUUUCCACACACCCCCGUCCGUGACAAGCCUCCUCGCUCGGGUACAUAACGGGAAUCGGUCAAACGGAGUGUGGUCGGGAGUUGCGGUGCGUGGCCUCGGUUGCGUGUUGCUUCUUUCGGCUGCGUUAAGCUCCAUCGGUUUCACGGUCACCUUGAGUAAAUCAGAGUGCUCAAAGCAGUCGUAGGGGCCUUGCGCCCUGUGAACAGUCUUGACGGACUGACUUGGUUUUGCAUGGCAUGUCGGAAGACGACGUCGUGUGCUGGCUCAGAGGAUAAAUCAGUGGUACAAGCCAGCCUCGACGUAAUGAUUAAAAGGGACGGUCGAGGGCAUUGGUAUUGCGAGGCGAGAGGUGAAAUUCUGUGACCCCCGCAAGACCUCCUGAAGCGAAAGCGUCUGCCAAGGACGUUUUCAUUAAUCAUGAACGAAAGUUAGAGGAUCGAAGGCGAUCAGAUACCGCCCUAGUUCUAACCCUAAACGAUGCCAACCAUCAAUCCGCGCGUAGCACCCUUCUUAACGGGCUCGGCGGGCAGCUCCCCACUCACGGGAAACCAGAGCCUCUGGGUUCCGGGGGGAGUCUGGUUGCAAAGCUGAAACUUAAAGGAAUUGACGGAAAGGCACCACCAGGCGUGGAGCCUGCGGCUUAAUUUGACUCAACACGGGCCAUCUCACCAGGCCAGCACUCUUGUACGAUUGACAGAUUGAGAGCUCUUUCUCGAUUCAGUGGAUGGUGGUGCAUGGCCGUUCUUAGUUGGUGGAGUGAUCUGUCUGGUUAAUUCCGAUAACGAACGAGACUCUCCCCUGCUAACUAGUCGGUUGGAUCUUGAUCAGCGGGUUGCGUGCCGAGUAACUCUCGCUGUGCGUGGUGCGUAGCUGGGCCUCACGGUUCGUUGCGUGCUCGCGUGGUGUUGGAUGCCUUGGAUCACACUGCACCCCAAGUCCGCCGCUUAUGCUAUAACUCUUCUUAGAGGGAUUCACGGCACUGAAGCCGUAAGAGACUGAGAGCAAUAACAGGUCUGUGAUGCCCUUAGAUGCUCUGGGCCGCACGCGCGCUACAAUGCCGGGCACAGCAGGUGUUUCUCCUUCUCCGACAGGAGCGGGUAACCCUCUGAAAGCCAGUGUUCUUGCAAGUGCUUCCUCCCUCGUGGAGUUGCACAGAGGCGUGCUUGGGCCUGGGACUUGCAAUUCUUUCCCACCAACGAGGAAUGCCUAGUA
rnacentral:rRNA from 1 species